GAUGAAAAUGCGAGGAUAUGUUAACAUUAAACGCAUCUAGAACUCGACGCGAGGAAACAUGAAUCAAAGUGUUAAGUUCCUUCUCGUACUUUUUUCUCUUAUUUUCGUGUCGGGGUACAUUGUGACUCCUGCUGAAGCGGAUCCAUCAAAAUGUGGCGUUUUCUAUAAAAAAAGAUGUCGCUUUCCGGAAAUAAGAGCCAUGUGUGGGAAUCUAUGCAACGGAAGAUAGAAAACAUUGAUUGCAUAAUGGACGACGUCUACAUCCUGAACCGAAGUAUUGAGUUUAUUUGUAUACAAUUACUUACAAACAUGUAACUGAAUACCAACAGUAAAUAAAGUGUGAAAAUUAUUUAAAGCUGUAAGUUUCUUACCUUUAUACCUCAAUGGCGAGUGAUUUGUCCUAAUAAUACAGAAAUAUACCUUUAUUCUACUUUAAAACAACCUUACUUUUAUUAAAAAUGUUUAGUCGACAUAUUAAAAUAAUUUUGAGAAGAGCAAUGAUAGGAAAUGUCAAUGUAAUUAUGUUAUUAAUGUAUUAUAGUUUGUUAAAUCGUGCAUAAACCUAGGAUUUGUUUGGUAAAAUCAUAAAAUUUUAAAUGUGCACAUAAUCCGCCUACCACAACAGACGGUUUUUGUAUAUAAGAAGGGAAAAAGCAAGCACCAGGGCACGUUCACAUAUUAAUACGCUGAAAAUUCAUUAAGAGAAUCAUGCAGGACGAAGUCAAGUUUCUUGUAUUAUUCUUAUAUCUUGUUUUGAUGACCGGAUAUUUUGUGAUUCUGGUUGGAGCGGACCCACCAGAUUGCGAUGAUAUGGACCAAAUGCUUUGUAGUCAUGCGGAUAUUCGUCAGAUGUGUAUGAGUACAUGUCAGCUUUAAAUUUCUGGUAUACUAAUGAUGAAAAUUUUGGAUUUAUCAAUUCCAUAAAAUGUGGAGAAUGUAACAAAAAUGGCGAAAUAAAAUGAUUUGCAUUAUAAGUAUAUCGUUAUUUUUCUUAAUUAGUUGUAGAAUGUACAAAAUUUUUUUUUAAUAAAAUUAAUACCUUAACCGUACCUAAGAUUAAGCUCACCUAACAAAAUAUACAAAAAUAGCGAUGGUCUUGUCAUUUUUUUCAAUCUUAAAACACGGUCACGAAAAACUGAACUUACAGUUAAAAUUGGUCACGAGAAAUACAUAAUACGUUUAUAAACAUGUUUAUACCUAUCGACACGUGUCAUAACUUGGAAUAGUUUUUGCAUAUAAAAGGGGGAUGUUCGAAUAGAAAUUCAUAGUAAUUCCGUGAAAGAUUCAGUAAGAAUAAUCAUGAAUCAAAAAAUUAGUUUUCUUCUUGUUUUGGUCUCUCUCAUUUUGAUGUCUGGAUUUUUCAUGACAUCUGUGACAGCGGAACCAGUCACAUGCAGAUUUCCAUGUAAACGUGGGAAAUAUCGUGGCCAGUGCAGGAAGCAAUGUCCGUAAAGCGAAUUUCACUUUCUGGAAACUACGUCGGCCCUACAAUGUGGAUUUAUGAUUCAACGAUUUUAAUGAUUAUGAAAAAUGCAAUCACGUGUGAAGAAAAAUAGAUAGUAGCCUUUUUAAUAGAGAAAAGUAAAAUGCCCUAAUGUUUCAAGAUAGUCACGAAAAACUAUUUGCAACUAUAAUUUGUUACGAAGGAAACAUAAUACUUUUCUCAAUGUAUGUAAAGAUUUUGGACUUAAUCAUUCUCUAAUUAGUGUGAAAAGUGUAAUUAAAUGGGAAAUAAAAUACAAUUUUUUGCAUUACUUUAAUAUUUGUAUAUUUAUGUUAAUAUUCUACCAUAUCAGUAGCUUGAAACAAUUUGUCACGUAGAAAACAUAUUUCUAAACGUGUACACAAUCAGUAUAUAAAAAUUCUAAAUGUGCGUGUAAUCUGGUUAUAUGUGUCAUAACUUCGAAUGGCACUUGUAUAUAAAAAAAGAAGAGCAAACACAGAUAGAUGUUCACAGUGUACGUGCUGAAAAUUCAAUACGAGAAUCAUGAAGAAAGACGUCAAGUUUCUUCUAAUAUUUCUAUCUCUCAUUUCAAUGUUGGGAUUAUUCAUGAAACCCGUGACAGGAGAACUAAAGCAAUGUAGAUUUUCUUCUAAAAGCCGCUGUAGUGACCCGAAUUUCCGUAACAUGUGCAAGAGAAAAUGCUCAUAAAGGAAAUGAACUCGAUUUUCUGACAAACGAUGACGACUUUGGAAUUAAUCAUUUUAAUUAUUAAAAACAAUGUAAUUAAAUGUGAAAAUAAAUAAAAUUCUAUGCAUUACCUAAACAUUUUUAUAUUUACGGAUAUUUCAAAUAUACCAUCACCCUAAGCAUUUCUAUAAAAAUUUCAAUUAUCGAAGCACGUCACAAGAAUCACGAAUGAUCUUAACUAACAAAAUGAGCAAAAAAGACGGUAAUCUUCUUACCUUGUAAGAAUAUGUAUCACGACUGUCACGAAAACCUGCACGUAUCGCUGAAAUUUGUCACGGAGCAUACAUAUUACGCACCUAAAUGAUCGCGUAACUACCUGUUCGUGCCAUAACAUCGAUUAGUUUUUGUAUAUAAAAAUCUGAACGACAAAUGCAGCUGCAUGUUUAUAACAAACACGCUGAGGAGUCGAUACGAGGAAUCAUGAGUCAAACAAUUAGCCUUCUUCUCGUCUUUGUUUCUCUUAUUUUGAUGUCAGGAUUUUUCAUGACAUCAGUAACAGCGGAACCUCCAGCUUGCAAUAAUUUACCAAAGAAACUUUGCAGCAGCAUGAAAUACCGUAACAUGUGUAAGAGCAAGUGUUGAUAAUGGAUUUUGGUCUCUGACAGACAACGGCAGCACCACGACGAAUAUUUUGACGUAAACCACUUUGAUUCCCGUUGAAAAUACCAUAAAUGUGAAAUACAUAAAAUUCUACGUAUUUGGUUAUUUUCAAUAACAAAUAAAUGUAAUGCAAUUACUGUAA